rnacentral:misc_RNA from 1 species
GAUGAAGAACGCAGCGAAAUGCGAUAAGUAAUGUGAAUUGCAGAAUUCAGUGAAUCAUCGAAUCUUUGAACGCACAUUGCGCCCGCCAGUAUUCUGGCGGGCAUGCCUGUUCGAGCGUCAUUACAACCCUCAGGCCCCCGGGCCUGGCGUUGGGGAUCGGCGGAGCCCCCCGUGGGCACACGCCGUCCCCCAAAUAUAGUGGCGGUCCCGCCGCAGCUUCCAUCGCGUAGUAGCUAACACCUCGCGACUGGAGAGCGGCGCGGCCACGCCGUAAAACACCCAACUCUUCUGAAGUUGACCUCGAAUCAGGUAGGAAUACCCGCUGAACUUAAGCAUAUCAAUAAGCGGAGGA